AAGUUCUCAUAAUUCAAAAAG
rnacentral:miRNA from 1 species